AGGAGUGUCUACCUGCCACUUUGCCUGGGCUUUUCAUUCCGAAGCUGAGGAAGAACUGAUCAAUAUGAUUCCAGCAAUUCAGAGAGGGGACCCUCAGUGGUCUGAAUUAAGAGCUAUGGGAAUAGGCUGGUGGGUGAGGAAUGUUAACACACUUCGAAGAUGCAUUGAAAAGGUUGCCAAGGCUGCUUUUCAAAGGAACAACGAUGCCUUAGAUGCUGCUUUAUUCUACCUUUCCAUGAAGAAGAAAGCAGUAGUAUGGGGUCUGUUCAGGUCACAACAUGAUGAAAAAAUGACAACAUUUUUCAGCCACAACUUUAAUGAAGAUAGGUGGAGGAAAGCUGCUUUGAAAAACGCCUUUUCUUUACUCGGAAAACAGCGCUUUGAACAGUCUGCUGCUUUUUUCUUGCUGGCUGGCUCAUUGAAAGAUGCAAUCGAGGUAUGUCUUGAAAAAAUGGAAGAUAUUCAACUAGCCAUGGUUAUU
rnacentral:lncRNA from 1 species